CAGAGGGCAGUGUGAAAAGACCACGUAAGGGGUGAUGAUCAGUGAAACCAAUUUGAUGGAGAAGAAAAUGGCUUUCGGUAAGGAUCUGCAUGUUGGUGACUUUUCAUCUCUCAGUGGGAAUAUGUUACAGUACUAGCAUAAAAAUGCCAUCACUGCAGAGCGAUCUGAGAGUCUUAGGAUGAUUAUCUUUAUUGCUUGGAGGUAACAUUUUAGUAAAUGAGAUUUAGUUAACAUUCUCAUACAAAGAACUAUCAUAAUUUGAGAGAAAAGUCAUCUCCUAAAACAUAUUAAAACUAGAAUUUUGUUUAUUUUUUUCCUCUGCUAGAACCUAAACCGUGUAAUUUAUUGGAACAGAUGGCACAGUAGAUGUGACAUAGGUGUGUUAUACUUUUAGGAAAAGCUAAUUUAUAAAAAUGCUACACCAAAAAGUCAUAAAAUUGGAAACUUAAAGGCUUUUUAUAGUCCAGCUGACUCAGCUAAUCUGUAUUUCCAUCUCUGCCAAAGUCAAAUCCAUCACCUGCAGUCUCUGUUGACCCUCUAGUCGUGUGGGUACUUUUAUCUCCUAGUGCUUUUAGCCACUACUUUGUCACUAAAUCUGUGAAUCGCUUUCCAGUUGGUGUUGUUAUAGUUAAAUAAAAUACCAUUUUCAUAUUCUAUUCCAGAUAUCUGCGAUCGUCAGAACAGACCUUCCUAAGGCCUCACUAAAACUGUAGCUGCCAUCAGCCCCGGUGUUUCUGGGAUGUGGGCUGCUUUGCUCAGAACAAGCCCCAUUUUUUUCCCUUAAAACCAAACGUUCAGCGUUUCCUGCUUCCAUAUGUUGCGUGAACAUUACUGGGCAUGCGUACUGUCCUUCCUGUUGUUCUCCAGAUACUCCCCAGCUCGCCCAUUUCCGUCUUUAAAUACCAGGCCCCAAAUUAGCCACCACGUUCCAGGAGCAGUAGGGGGUUCAGGGACCAGAUGGAUUCAGGAACUGACACUCAGAACGAUGAUGCUUAACUGUUUGGGGACACAUAGCCCUUCUGAGAAUCUAAGCUCUGGAAUCUGUUCCCAAGAAAAUGCAUAUGUGGGCAGAGGUGCAAGUUUCCAUACAAUUUCGGAGGAUUCCUGGGGCUUGCUAUAGUUCAUUCAUAAACCGUGUACCCUCUGGGACAGAGGAUUGAGAACCCUGACUCUGUUGUUUUGAGCCUGUACCUGGGUAUAAACAAGGGAAUUUUUUAAUAACCAUAUGGCGUUGGGUCUUAGGUAGAAGGCAGAGAAUUUGGAGGAUCUGCAACUGAAGGUUUUGUUUAUUUUUAAGCAGGAUGUAUUUUAGAGAUCAGAUUUUGAAACUCCUUUUCAAUUAUAAUCGUAUAUGUGAGUUUUUCUCAGAAUCCGCUUUCAUAAAAAAUGUAUUUAGCUGGCUUUUUCCUGCACUGACUUGUUCAGACAUGUUAGUCCUUUUAGGAAAAUGCGCUCAUGAGAUUUGAAAAGCAGCCCACCAAGCCUCAGGCCCCGCUGGGUUCUCUCCUGCUGACAUUUGUUGGACAAAGAGUCUCUUGAUUUACUUGAUUAGGGAAUAACUCGAACCUUGUAGAAAGUAAAACAGACAUAUAUUUUAACCACUGGUCCUAAUGUAAUUUUUUAAAUUAUUUUUUUUUGUGGAAUUUAUGGCAUCUUUGCACAUAUGGAAAUGA